AUUCCACCGGAACCACUCUCUCUCUCCCUCACACCCUCACUCUCUCUUGGCUGCCCUCUCUUUCUCGGCCGCGCCCUUGCCACGUCCAUGCCCAAGCCGCACCGUGUCCUUGCCAUGCCCUUGCCGCUCGGCUCACCCCUAGGCCAUACACGGCCACGAUCUCGGAGAGUAGUAAGUAAACCUACUAAACUUUGGUUAGAGUGAUGUGUUAUGUUGUUGAACGAGUUAUGUUCUUGUUGUACUUGGUUGGAUGGUAAGUAAACUUACUAAACCUUAGCUAGGGUGAUGUGUUACGUUGUUGGGCAAGUCAUGUGCUUGUUGUGCUUGCAUGAAUUCUAUGAUUUGUGAACACUUAAUAUAGCUUGCCGUGCUAGCAUUUACAUUUGUAAGGUCUGCUCAUGUGUUUGGCAUCAUAUUUGAUAUCACGCCCGAGCCAUAAACAAGUCUCGUUUGGUUCGGCUCGACGUCGAGGCGUGUCGAAACGACCUUGCUUAGAGGGUCAGUAUUGAGGUGUACCGAUUCAAGCCUUGCUUGGUGUAGGUUGGUGCCAUGACUGGUCGGUUCGGGCCACGAGCUUGGUUUCGUGCCCGGCAUGACUUAAGACUUUAGAGGUAACAUGGCAUGAUAUACACUUCGUGUGAAAUACUCAAGUUGGUAUGAUGCUUGUUGGCAUGGUCACGCAAGGGAAAAGUAUAGCCGUCGCCCUUGAUUGGGGACGUUGCCCGAUUAAGUUUGGAUGAAUAGCUAUCACCCUUGAUUCUGGGACAUUACCCAAUUAAGUUCGGAUGAAUAGUCAUCGCCCUUGAUAGAAGACGUUGCCUGAUUAAGUUUAGAUACCCGGUGGAUUUUAGAUGAUAGCCGUUACCCUUGGAUUAGGGAUUGUUGCCAGGUGGAUUCCAGAAGAACCGUGUGAAAGGUUGUAAUAAUGAAUGAACCCCCAUGUGUAUACUCUUGAUUGUAUUGUUGAUGCAUGAAUAGAAAAAGGCGAGAUGAGAUCAUCUCAUGCACAAAGACAAGUGUGUUUGAAGCAUUUUUGCUAUUGAUCUACCAUCAAUUGACAUGGCUAUGACAUAUGCUUUGUUCGAUGGCAAAGAGUCCUCAUAUCCAAAGUUUAGUGAGUUUUACUUACUAAGUCCUUGACUCACUCCAUUGUUUUUCAGAUUUGUAGAUAUGAAAGUCUCACACUAGUUUUGGGAGCUAUAAUCACACUAGAAGAGAUAGGAAUUUCCCCCAACCUACACGGAUACAUGUACUAUGUUAAAAAGGGAAAAGAGCCCGUAGAAAAAGGGGCUUGUAACAUAUACUCAUAUAAUAUAAGAAGUAGUUUAUUACAAAAUUAUUGUUUCUAACUGCUUGUCUGGGUAUUUGUUGUAUGCUUUCGCAUGCUUUUAAUGAAAAGAUAAAAGAAACGGGACGGGGAUGCGCUUGAAACGUCGCAUUAAUAACUCAAGGUUAGGAUGUGACAAAAACUGCCCAUACAGUCCUUUUUCCUGAACAUUUGCAACCUAGCCGAAAAUAGCUUCUACUAUUGUCCCUUCGCUAAUGGAUCUGACAAGUUUAUUAGAAAGCCUGUUUUCGGUAUUCUGACGUCUUCUAGUUCUUUAGGUGCGCAUCUCCAAGCGGCAAUGGAUAUAUUGGACUUCUACAACAAUCAUCUGGAAUGGUCAUUGCUCCAACAUUAACAAUGACAUGAUAUCUCCAGCAUUGACACAAACAUUGCCAUCAACUUAUCUUUUAGUUCGGCCACUGCGAGCACCUCGACGAUGACGUGAAGCUCCCUACACUGCAAGCUGCUUCGACCAGUUCUAGCUACUCCCUGCCGUGAGACAAAUCCAGCUCGCGACUUGCUCUGCUGCAACUGUACUGAUCUGCUUUACAAAGCGAAGACACCAGCAAGCAAUGAACCCCUCCCGUCAAUAAUCUUUACUUUGCAAGUUUGUUAGUCAAGACUCGAGCAUCUCCAUCGUGAGCUUGCUGCACCGGUGAGACCUCCCCGAGCUGCUGCUGUAUCGUGAGCCCCUCAUCGUGACACUUCCAACUCUUCCAGUCAUGAGUUGAGCCUGCUGCCAUUGUCAACAUAGCCGUUGGCCUUGGCUAUGAGCUUCCACUACCGACCACCGUGAUCCUCAUCGUUGGUUACUAUUUCGAGAAGCAAAUAUUCAAAUUAUGUAAUUAUCCGAUUCCAGUUCAAAUUCAAUAUUUUAUUGCUUAA